rnacentral:rRNA from 1 species
GCUUGGCAGAAACAAGGCCAAAGUGUACCCCCUGGCCCGCCAGAUUAUUACAAGUAUAAACUUAAAACUCAAAGGACUUGACGGUGUCCCACACACAACCUAGAGGAGCCUGUCCUAUAAUCGAUGAUCCACGAAGGACCUUUCCACCCUUUGCCCAACAACCUAUAUACCGCCGUCGAAAGUUCACCUUGUGAGAGAAAAAAAGUGAACACAAUAGCCUAACACUAACACGUCAGGUCAAGGUGUAGUUAAUGGGGUGGCCAGAGAUGGGCUACAUUUCCUACUAAAGGAAAAACGAACGGUAAAAUGAAAACUAACCAGAAGGAGGAUUUAGUAGUAAAACAGGAUCAGAAAGCCUGCUUGAACACACUGCCCUGGGACG